UUAGGGAAGCUCAUCAGUGGGGCUACAAGCUGAGUGUGUCAUGUCUCUCUCCACCAUGUCCCUUGGAAAGGUCUGAGACUAGGGCCAACAGAAGCCCUAACAGGGUCCUCUCUGAGCCUGAGGAAGGCCAGUUCCCAGAGAGCAGGACUCCGCGUGAGGGCAUGGUGGGUAAGUGAACAUGUCCUUAACAGCCCUUUGGCCUCUAGGUGAUGUGAUGCAAUGGACAGAGGUUCAGACCAGAACAGUAAACUUGGCUCUGUGCUGG
ensembl:ribozyme RNaseP_nuc Nuclear RNase P